GACGAGGGGUCCUAGCGUUGUUCGGAAUCACUGGGCGUAAAGCGUAUGUAGGCGGCUUUUCAAGUCAGGUGUGAAAUCCCAUGGCUUAACCAUGGAACUGCAUUUGAAACUGUAAAGCUUGAGUAUUGGAGAGGAUGGUAGAAUUCCUGGUGUAGUGGUGAAAUACGUAGAUAUCAGGAGGAAUACCGGUGGCGAAGGCGGCAUCCUGCCAAAUACUGACGCUGAGAUACGAAAGUGUGGGGAUCAAACAGG
rnacentral:rRNA from 1 species